rnacentral:rRNA from 2 species
GACGAACCGUGCGAACGUUGUUCGGAAUCACUGGGCUUAAAGGGCGCGUAGGCGGACUGCCAAGUCCGGGGUGAAAUACUUCGGCUUAACCGGAGAAUUGCCUUGGAUACUGGCAGCCUUGAGGGAGGUAGGGGCACUUGGAACUUCCGGUGGAGCGGUGAAAUGCGUUGAUAUCGGAAGGAACGCCGGUGGCGAAAGCGAAGUGCUGGCCCUCUUCUGACGCUGAGGCGCGAAAGCCAGGGGAGCGAACGGG